GUCAAAGAUGAGAGAGACGUUGUCCAUGAUCAGAGACAUUGUCCCAUGCUUCGCAGAGCUCUGCGCAAGAAUCGGUAGAGACACUGUGGUUCCUCGAUUCGACGGCAUGACCGCGAUCAGGAGACAUUGUUAAUGAUCACAGAGACACCGUCUAUGAUCUCAGAGACAUCGUCCACGAUCACAAAGACAUUGCCCAUGGUUGUAGAGACUUUGUCCAUAAUCUCAGAGACAUUGUCCGCGAUCACAGAGACGUAGUCCGCAAUCCCAGAGAGUCUUCGUACAAUGAAGAAGUUCUUUGAGACCAGGACAGAGACCUCCAGAUUUCCUCCAGGUGUCACCAAUUCGUCCAUGACAUAGUCCACAAUCACAUAGACAUUGUCUACGAUUGCAAAGACAUGCCCCAUGAUCGGAGAGACAUUGUUGAGGAUGAGGGAGACAUCGUCCACGAUCAGAGACAUUGUCCACGAUCGCAGAGACCUUGUCAAAGAUGAGAGAGACGUUGUCCAUGAUCAGAGACAUUGUCCCAUGCUUCGCAGAGCUCUGCGCAAGAAUCGGUAGAGACACUGUGGUUCCUCGAUUCGACGGCAUGACCGCGAUCAGGAGACAUUGUUAAUGAUCACAGAGACACCGUCUAUGAUCUCAGAGACAUCGUCCACGAUCACAAAGACAUUGCCCAUGGUCGCAGAGACUUUGUCCAUAAUCUCAGAGACAUUGUCCGCGAUUACAGAGAGUCUUUGUACAGUGAAGAAGUUCUUGGAGACCAGGACAGAGGCCUCCAGAUUUCCUCCAGGUGUCACCACUUCAUCCAUGACAUCGUCCACGAUCACAGAGAUAUGGUCCAUGAUCGGAGAGACAUUGUUGAGGAUGAGGGAGACAUCGUCCACGAUCAGAGACAUUGUCCACGAUCGCAGAGACCUUGUCAAAGAUGAGAGAGACGUUGUCCAUGAUCAGAGACAUUGUCCCAUGCUUCGCAGAGCUCUGCGCAAGAAUCGGUAGAGACACUGUGGUUCCUCGAUUCGACGGCAUGACCGCGAUCAGGAGACAUUGUUAAUGAUCACAGAGACACCGUCGAUGAUCUCAGAGACAUCGUCCACGAUCACAAAGACAUUGCCCAUGGUCGUAGAGACUUUGUCCAUAAUCUCAGAGACAUUGUCCGCGAUCACAGAGACGUAGUCCGCAAUCCCAGAGAGUCUUCGUACAAUGAAGAAGUUCUUUGAGACCAGGACAGAGAC